AACGAACGCUGGCGGCAGGCCUAACACAUGCAAGUCGAGCGAGGACUUCGGUCCUAGCGGCGGACGGGUGAGUAACGCGUGGGAACGUGCCCUUUGCUUCGGAAUAGCCCUGGGAAACUGGGAGUAAUACCGGAUGAGCCCUUUGGGGGAAAGAUUUAUCGGCGAAGGAUCGGCCCGCGUUGGAUUAGGUAGUUGGUGGGGUAAUGGCCUACCAAGCCGACGAUCCAUAGCUGGUUUGAGAGGAUGAUCAGCUACACUGGGACUGAGACACGGCCCAGACUCCUACGGGAGGCAGCAGUGGGGAAUCUUAGACAAUGGGGGAAACCCUGAUCUAGCCAUGCCGCGUGAGCGAUGAAGGCCUUAGGGUUGUAAAGCUCUUUAAGCUGGGAAGAUAAUGACGGUACCAGCAGAAGAAGCCCCGGCUAACUCCGUG
rnacentral:rRNA from 1 species